UACAGAGGGGGCAAGCGUUGUUCGGAAUUACUGGGCGUAAAGGGCGCGUAGGCGGCCUGUUAAGUCGAACGUGAAAUCCCCGGGCUCAACCCGGGAACUGCGUCCGAUACCGGCAGGCUUGAAUUCGGGAGAGGGAUGUGGAAUUCCAGGUGUAGCGGUGAAAUGCGCAGAUAUCAGGAGGAACACCGAUGGCGAAGGCAGCUCGCUGGGACGGUACUGACGCUGAGGCGCGAAAGCGUGGGGAGCAAACAGG
rnacentral:rRNA from 1 species